CUUUCACUGGGGACCCCCUUUCCCCUAGAGUGUUCUCUCUGGUUUUCCAGAAGGCUUGGAUUCAAGACAAAUGCAGCGCCCGAGGAAACACAGCGGACUAGAGGCUAAUGUGCCAUCCACAUCCUCGUAGGACGAUGUCCUGCAACUGUAACAAUAAGAAUUUGAGGAACGACGCCCAGAUCACGGUGAACACUUGCUGCCUGUCACAGGGAAGAGGCACAGAAAGAGAGCUCCUAGCAACAGCUGCAUAGCAACACCUAGUGCCAGAUCAUGAUAUAGCAGAGAAAUACGAUGCCCCAGCUGGUGCACGGGACUUGACCUGACACCUCUUCCAAGGUAGUUCUUGGAGGGUGUUAACUGUAAGAACGGCAAUGCAGACUUCCCCCAACCUAACAUCCUUAAUGAGUUCUGAGAAACAUGACAUUCAUUGUAACAUUUUAUGGGGAAGUCAGAGUCUUGAAGGCCAUGGAAUCCAAUGUCACCUCGUUUUCACAUGAAGAAAAGGAGGCAAGAGAAAUGACUCAACCAAGGUCACAGAGGAGCUGAAUCCCAUCUGAGAGCAUCCAGCAUUUUCAGACGCCGUGAUUUUUUGCCCCACGGCAAAAGCCCACCUUCUUAAACACCUAAAUGCUCCUGAGGACGUUAUUUGAUUAGAAAUCAUGGAACACUGCAGUCAUAAUCAUCAUAAUAAUAGCUCACAACUAUAUGGUACUUGGAGAUUUGCAAAGAACUUUCUCUUCAUUCCUUCAUCCAAUACCCUUGCAGAAGAAUCAGAAUUAGAAGUAACCCAAUGCACAAAUGGCAGGUCUGAGUGAGCUGCAACCUGGCCAAUGAGUAUUUGCUUACUUUUGAGAAGUGGUAUAGAAGACAUCGUUAAGGACAUUGUGGACAAGGAAAGGAGGUGGACUGGUCUUGUGGAGAGUACAUAGAAGAACAAAUGGGCCGCCCCAGGACUGCACGGGUAUCCAGAAAAUAACCACAGACCUAGACAUUGGCUUCCGGCUCAUUGUGUACAUUUAUGGAAGAACUACACACGAUAAGAAGGCAUGGAUGGGUUGCAAUCUGCCCCUUGGGAUGGAUUGCCUACAUCAAUGAGACCAAAGGUCACACUGGGAGAAGCAGUGCAAUGAAGAAGACCUGAGUUGUAAUCCCAUCUCAGACACUUGGCAGCCAUGUGAUAGUGGAUAAGACAUUUUAUCUCCUUGAGCCUCUGUUUCCUUGUAUGUAAAAUGGGAAUAGUAACCCCAGUAGUACCUACCUCAAAAGGUUGUCACAAGGAUCAAAGAAAAUGUGUGUAAAGCAAGUGUGUAAAGAUGAGCUCCUUUUCAUCCAAAUCAAACUCCCCCCAAAUCUGAAGUUGAUUUUCAGCCGUACUGACAUGCCAUGGUUUGUCCAGCACACAGCACAUGUUAGUAACAGUUUUAUCAGGAGAAACAGUGGAGUUCUGUUAAGACAAGACUGAGAGGCAUAUUUUAAUCUAUCCCCUACCUCCCACAGGACUGUGCCUAUGGCCCUCCAGAGAGCUAACGUGGAGAGCCACUUAGAAAGGCCGUAUUCAUCAGCUUGAAACAUAAUCAGCACACAGCCAACUUUUUCCAAGGCAUCAGUACCCUCAGUGUUCCACAGAGAGAUCAAACUGGAUGAUUCCACCAGAGCAGACUUUAAAUCAAAAGGCAAAGAAUCAAUGUAGAGGCAAAUCUUUCUUUAUUCUAAAAUGAUCAUGAUGAGGAAAAGAGAUUGAGGGAGAUUAUAUUUAUUGUGCCAUAUUUAUCCAGUCCACACCAUUUCUAUGCCCAGGAGAACUCUCUAUAUAUUGUGUUAGGGAAAAUAAUCACUUUACCAAGCAAGGGGCUUUGCACAUAAGGAACGCUUAAUAAACAUCUACUAGAUUAAAUCUGGACAGCUAGGUGGUGCAACGGUUAGAGUACAGAGCCUGGAAUCAGGAGGACCU